rnacentral:pre_miRNA from 9 species
UCUCGACAGCGUAAAAGUUAACUCAAAUUUGUAUGUAGUAGGAACGUUUGCCUUCGUUUGCCGCUAGGGGCGUUGUUCCAACUCCAUACAAAUUGAAGUAACUUUUACGCUAUCGA